rnacentral:rRNA from 1 species
UACGUAGGGCGCAAGCGUUGUCCGGAAUUAUUGGGCGUAAAGAGCUCGUAGGCGGCCUGUUACGUCUGCUGUGAAAUCCCGGGGCUUAACCCCGGGCGUGCAGUGGAUACGGGCAGGCUGGAGGCAGGCAGGGGAGAACGGAAUUCCCGGUGUAGCGGUGAAAUGCGCAGAUAUCGGGAGGAACACCGGUGGCGAAGGCGGUUCUCUGGGCCUUACCUGACACUGAGGAGCGAAAGCGUGGGGAGCGAACAGG